CAUUUGCCCUUGUAAGCAGGGUUCUUCUUCAUCGGUCUCUUCCAUUCACCGCAUCCUGGUGCUGCUUCACAUUUGGGGUUGUUAAUCUUUGGUGCCUCCCACAUACCAUCUUCCUCAUCAUCCCAAUCUUCAGGUUUGGUUGCCUCUGGGUCGUCCACCUCCUCAGGCUCAUCGUCUAACCAUCCUUCGGGUUUCUCGGCUUCUUCAUCUUCUAUCUCCAUCGGUGCUUCCUCGUCCCAGUCGUCAGGCUUCACAGCGUUAGGGUCAGGGAUCUUGGCUCUCUCAUCCCAGUCUUCUGGUUUCUUGUCUUCAGGGUCGGGGAUGGUCUUGUCAGGGAUCAAAGCAGGCUCAAAGUCUUCCCCAGAGAGUAAGUUGGCCUUCUUCUUCUCCUCUCCAUCAACCAAAAUCCUAACCUCGUUGUCUGGCUUCAAGAUGGCGGUGUAGACAUGGGAAAGCUUGUCA
rnacentral:lncRNA from 1 species